CAUAGUAGCUCGUGGGCCAGUCUUCGUUCUAGGCACCCUGCAGAUGUAUCGUCAUCUAUUGUUGAUAGCUCUUUCCCUCUAUUUCUAUGGCCAUUUAAUCCUCACAACAAUGCAGGAAGUAGAUAUCACUAUCAUUUUCACUUCACCGGUUACACAACAGAGGUGCAGGGAUACAGAGUGGCUUAUGGAAGGCUUCGUACCUGUCGUGUAACCGACGUGGGACCUGAGCCACCUAGCCUUACCCCAGUGUCCAUGCUCUUCAUCAGGACAUGCAACAGCUUUGUCACUGUGCAUAAAUGAAGGAAGGAAGUAAAGGAAUGAAAAUGCUGCCUGCCUUCUAGCUGUUUGAUGGAAUGCUGCACUUCCAUGCUUCAGGGAGGGAUACUUCAUUCUUUGCUGCUCAAACUUAUAUGAUUGAAGAUGCAUUCUAAAAAGAUUUCAAGAAGUGUGUUUGAAGUUGAAAUUGUCAUUAGAGAAUGAAACAGCACAAUAACAACAGAGCAGCUCUUGGAGGGAUCCUGAAAGCAGCGAUUACUACAGUAAAAUACAAUGACAGAUCCAGAGCAGAGCCAUUGACAAAUGUCCCAUGCCUGUCAUGUUUCAUUAUGUUUGCGUAGCCCAAGAAUGUCUCCUCAAGGCUUUACCACCAAAGACAAGACAUUUACAUUUUACUGAGGUGCAAAUGAAAUAAAAGGAAAUUGACUGCUUGUUCCAGCAGUUCACGUUUCAAUAUGGGAAAUUACAUACAUCAUUGAAUUCUGAGGUAUAAUAAA